AAUCCAGAGAUGGAUUUGUGCCUUCGGGAACUGUGAGACAGGUGCUGCAUGGCUGUCGUCAGCUCGUGUUGUGAAAUGUUGGGUUAAGUCCCGCAACGAGCGCAACCCUUAUCCUUUGUUGCCAGCGGUUAGGCCGGGAACUCAAAGGAGACUGCCAGUGAUAAACUGGAGGAAGGUGGGGAUGACGUCAAGUCAUCAUGGCCCUUACGACCAGGGCUACACACGUGCUACAAUGGCGCAUACAAAGAGAAGCGACCUCGCGAGAGCAAGCGGACCUCAUAAAGUGCGUCGUAGUCCGGAUUGGAGUCUGCAACUCGACUCCAUGAAGUCGGAAUCGCUAGUAAUCGUGGAUCAGAAUGCCACGGUGAAUACGUUCCCGGGCCUUGUACACACCGCCCGUCACACCAUGGGAGUGGGUUGCAAAAGAAGUAGGUAGCUUAACCUUCGGGAGGGCGCUUACCACUUUGUGAUUCAUGACUGGGGUGAAGUCGUAACAAGGUAACCGUAGGGGAACCUGCGGUUGGAUCACCUCCUUACCUGAAAGAA
rnacentral:rRNA from 1 species